CACGUAGGAGGCGAGCGUUAUCCGGAUUUACUGGGCGUAAAGCGCGUGUAGGCGGUUUGGUUAGUUGGAUGUGAAAUCUCCUGGCUCAACUGGGAGAGGUCGUUCAAUACUGCCAGACUUGAGGACGGUAGAGGAAGGUAGAAUUCCCGGUGUAGUGGUGAAAUGCGUAGAUAUCGGGAGGAAUACCAGUGGCGAAGGCGGCCUUCUGGGCCGUUCCUGACGCUCAGACGCGAAAGCAUGGGGAGCGAACGGG
rnacentral:rRNA from 1 species